rnacentral:rRNA from 1 species
UACGAAGGGGGCUAGCGUUGCUCGGAAUGACUGGCGUAAAGGGCGCGUAGGCGGCGCCGCAAGCCAGGCGUGAAAGCCCCGGGCUCAACCCGGGGACGGCGCCCGGGACUGCGGGGCUAGAGGCGAGGAGAGGGCCGCGGAAUUCCCAGUGUAGAGGUGAAAUUCGUAGAUAUCAGGAGGAACACCGGUGGCGAAGGCGGCUACCUGGACAGAAACUGACGCUGAGGCGCGAAAGCUAGGGAGCAAACAGG